CAAGAUCCAUGGUGGUGCAGGCUUUGUCCCUAGUGUAUAGGAAGUCAAUCUUCUCGAUGAAAUCAUUCAAAUAUCAAGUGAAGAAGCUAUAGAAACUGCAAAGCAACUUAUGCUUAAAGAAGGCCUGUUUGUAAGUUCCCCAAUAAGAUGCAGAAGAUGAGCGAGAAACUUUUUUUUGUUGAUGAAGAUGAUGAAGACAAUGACCGGAAUGGGAAUGCCAUUGGUGAGUGGGGAUAUCUGCGCAAUUCAAACAGUUUUGGAAGUGGAGAGCAUCGCCACAAGGAUAGGACAAGUGAGGAGCAGAUGAAGGUAAUGAAGAAUGUAGUGGAUGGAC